GUGGGGAAUCUUAGACAAUGGGGGCAACCCUGAUCUAGCCAUGCCGCGUGAGUGAUGAAGGCCUUAGGGUCGUAAAGCUCUUUCGCCGGGGAAGAUAAUGACGGUACCCGGUAAAGAAACCCCGGCUAACUCCGUGCCAGCAGCCGCGGUAAUACGGAGGGGGUUAGCGUUGUUCGGAAUUACUGGGCGUAAAGCGCGCGUAGGCGGAUCGGAAAGUUGGGGGUGAAAUCCCGGGGCUCAACCCCGGAAUUGCCUUCAAAACUCCCGGUCUUGAGGUCGAGAGAGGUGAGUGGAAUUCCGAGUGUAGAGGUGAAAUUCGUAGAUAUUCGGAGGAACACCAGUGGCGAAGGCGGCUCACUGGCUCGAUACUGACGCUGAGGUGCGAAAGCGUGGGGAGCAAACAGGAUUAGAUACCCUUGUAGUCC
rnacentral:rRNA from 1 species